CGCCGGCAUUUGCCCCCGACAAGUAGCGCUUCAGAUACUCGGCCUUGGAGAGCGGCGGAGCUGCCGCCAUGGCAGCGGCGAGGGCGAAGAGACGGCUCGGCGCUGGGGACAAAAUUAUUAAACGCAAAACGGACGGCCUUGACUUGAAGAGGUGUGGCCAGAACCGGAAGUGGCAGAGAGUGUUGGAACUGCCCGGGGUGACAGGUGACGCAGUUGCAGACUAACAAGAGGCGGGACGUGCACACCGCCGGGCGCACUCGACAUCCCUGUGAAGGCGCAAUCAUGUUUCUUGUCUUCGUCCAUCCAUCUGUUCAUUCAGCAAACUAUGCAGGAAGUGCUAGCCGUGAGAUGAGGAAACCAAAGCUUGGAGAGGUUAAGGAAGUUGCCCAACAUCACACAGCUAGAUAGCAGCAAAGCAAGACUCAAACAUAAGCCACAUAGCUCUUGGAAGCAGAGGCCAACAAAUGCCCUUCCCCAACCCCAGCAGAAGACUGAAAGCUUCUCUGAAGAGGUCACCACAGCACUCUAUGGACUGGGGGACAUUAGCACAGAUGAAGCUGGAGGGAAAGAAAUUGAAAACAAGGGG